GGUACAGUGCGGCGCGCCCGGGCCGCCUGCGGGCGCGGGCGCUGCGCUGAGCGCCGCGGCCCCGCAUAAGGACGAAUGGUUCGUCUAGGUGAGUGACGUCACCAUCAUCAUCAUCAGACUGGGCGCGCCCGGGCCGCCUGCGGGCGCGGGCGCUGCGCUGAGCGCCGCGGCCCCGCAUAAGGACGAAUGGUUCGUCUAGGCGGCCCGGUCGGGCCCGCAGGGCGGGGGCGCCGUACCGGCCCCCACGCCGCCGGCGGGCGGUUCUAUCCGGUUAUCAUGUAUGUACUACCUGAUUUAGCGAAGGUUUUUUUAGGGAAUUUUUACUCGUCUAGUGGAGGCGCGCGCGCCGCACGCUCGUGGGUGUCCAGUUUUUGGUGUUAACGAUAAACGCAAUGUAAAUUUAAAGUAUGACAUUAAACAUUUUUGGCUUA